ensembl:lncRNA CCNYL2 cyclin Y like 2 (pseudogene)
AGCGCCCCCACCGGAAUUUGUGGCCACUUCGCCUUUGGCUUUGCCUCCUGCCAUGCCCCGCAGGCCCGGAGAAUGUGGCCCCAGACUGAAAUGAGAAGAAGGUGGCCCCGCCGAGGGUUGUCUCAACUGUUGGAGUGAUCAGACCCAACACCAGGCCAUGGGGGCUACUAAGUCUGGCGGAGUCAAAGCUGGUUGCAGUGUUUGAUAAGCAAGAUCUACAUCAUGGAGGUGAUGACAUCAGUGCCAGCUCCAUGCAUACCCAGAGCCCGGAGAGAUUUACUAGUGCUAGUGAGCUUGGCACCAACAAUGUCUCAGCCUUUCAGUCUGAUCAAGCAGCAAGUGAAAUUGAGGUCACAUCUUCAGUACUUCAUGCAAAUAUACCUUUGGAGCCCAACCCUUCUGACCAUCCAAAGGCAAGCACAAUAUUCCUGAGAAAAUCUCAAACAGAUGGUAUCUACUGAGCAUUUUACUCAACAAUACAGUUCAUGUUCGACAAUAUUCCUUGAUGACAGCAUAGCCAGCCAGCCUCAUCUUACAAUGACACUAAAAUCAUGCUGAGAGCAAAUGGAAGCACAUAACUUAUGUAAGAGAACCUCUUGUUUUGUGAUACACAGCAUCUUGUGACCUUGGCACUAUAUUAUCAUAUCAAGCAAAGCGAAAAGAGGUUUUGGAGGAAUAUUUUAAGUAUGAUCCUGAACACAAAUUGAUCUUCAGAUUUGUUCGUACUCUG